rnacentral:rRNA from 1 species
AGGACGAACGCUGGCGGCGUGCCUAAUACAUGCAAGUCGAACGGUCUUUCUAUGGAAGCUUGCUUCCACUGAGAAGAUAGUGGCGAACGGGUGAGUAACACGUGGGUAACCUGCCCAUAAGAGGGGGAUAACAUCCGGAAACGGGUGCUAAUACCGCAUAGUUUUCUUGAUCGCAUGAUCGGGAAAGGAAAGACGGCCUUUGUGCUGUCGCUUAUGGAUGGACCCGCGGCGUAUUAGUUAGUUGGUGAGGUAACGGCUCACCAAGACGAUGAUACGUAGCCGACCUGAGAGGGUGAUCGGCCACAUUGGGACUGAGACACGGCCCAAACUCCUACGGGAGGCAGCAGUAGGGAAUCUUCCGCAAUGGACGAAAGUCUGACGGAGCAACGCCGCGUGAGUGAAGAAGGUUUUCGGAUCGUAAAACUCUGUUGUCAGAGAAGAACAAGUUGGAGAGUAACUGCUCCAGCCUUAACGGUAUCUGACCAGAAAGCCACGGCUAACUACGUGCCAGCCGCCGC